AACGAACGCUGGCGGCAGGCUUAACACAUGCAAGUCGAACGGGUGUAGCAAUACAUCAGUGGCAGACGGGUGAGUAACACGUGGGAACCUUCCUAGAGGUACGGAACAACUCAGGGAAACUUGAGCUAAUACCGUAUAAGCUCUUGCGAGGAAAGAUUUAUCGCCUUUAGACGGGCCCGGGUAGGAUUAGGUAGUUGGUGGGGUAAUGGCCUACCAAGCCUACGAUCCUUAGCUGAUCUGAGAGGAUGAUCAGCCACACUGGGACUGAGACACGGCCCAGACUCCUACGGGAGGCAGCAGUGGGGAAUCUUGGACAAUGGGCGCAAGCCUGAUCCAGCCAUGCCGCGUGAGUGAAGAAGGCCUUCGGGUUGUAAAGCUCUUUUACCAGGGACGAUAAUGACGGUACCUGGAGAAUAAGCCCCGGCAAACUUCGUGCCAGCAGCCGCCGUAA
rnacentral:rRNA from 1 species